rnacentral:sRNA from 1 species
GGGGGUGGGCUUUGAGGGUUUAUAGCCUCUCUCUACUCCCUGCUCCGUCUCCCUGUCUCCUGGAUGUGUGGAUGAAAUGUCAUGCCUCUGUCAUGCCUCCUUUGCCACAUGGACUUUAUCCCCUUGGGACUGAAGCCAAAAUUACACUUCCUUCCUUAACUUGCUGUUGGUCAUGAGACUUUUAUCACAACAACAGAAAGGUAACUGACACAAGUACCCGAUUAUUCACAUGGCUAGAGGGGGUCCCCUCUGCGGUCACCUUUUAUACUGACCCGUCUGUUCAAUAUCCCUAAGGCCCGCUGAGAAAAAGGGCCCAGAAGAAGUACCUGAAGGGAAGAAGGGCUUAUCUUGGUUUGCAGAUCUACGGGAUGAAGCCCAUAUGGUGAAGAAGGUUGGAGGAAGGUGCCGGAUUUCCAGGAAGUGAAGAUACAGAUGGUUGCCGACUGCCAAGCGGAUGCUAGGAACUGAGCGUAGGUCCUCCAGGAGAGCAGCCAGCGCUGGUCACUGCUGAGCCAUCUCUCCGAAAAGUUUUAUCACUGUACGACUGAAGAGGACUUCAUGGGACCUGCACGUCUCAUUUUAUCCUGUUAUUGUCACGUUAACAGCGAGCAGUGAACAAGGGUGAUGACGAGUCAGAUGGAGAGACAACAUGCAAGGCAAAUGGCGUUUCCUCAGCACCAACAGGAGGUUGCCCUGAUGCCAGCUGUAGCCACUGCUCACUCUGGCAAGACCGAGUGUGCAAACUUGCCUUUGCUCUUUUUGCUCCGAACAAACCCAGGCCACUCCCGCUGCUCAGGAGACAACCCUUGGACCUGUUUUCCUCCUAUGGUGACACUGACUUUCUUGUCUGUUUUUGAGCAGAAGAAGCAGAUACGAAACGGAGGCAGAGGAGCCAAGUUUUCUCUUCUUCUAGUUACCCAUUAGACAUCUGCAGGCCCAGGGCAAGGUCAGCAUUUCUGGCAAGUACAGCCCGUGUCCCUGUCGUGGUAAGGACAACUAUUGUUGAAGUGUUUGUAUGUGUCAAUAAUGUCUAAAAUAAAUAAAUCUUCACUUGACAGACAGUCCAGGAAUGCUGUGUUCAGCCACAGUGUAUGAGAGGAGAGGCUGUGUCAUGCGCGAUACAUGAAGCAAUGCACAUAAAUACUCUCUACUGGUACUGAUACCGAAAGACCUAGACCCUUCGACUUCAUAGAAGCCAGUUCGCCUUCCUUGUUAACCCUUUCCUAACCCGCAUCUUCCAGUUCUCUAACCUUCUACAUUUUGAGGCCAUACUCCACUCUCGGGUGAUUUUUUAUUGCCUGUUGGCCUAUCGUUUUUGAAGCCAAAAGCGAGCUAGCUUCCUCAGAUGUGCAUGUCGGCCAUCUUUCCUCCUUUUGGUUGGUGUUCACGGUGAGAAUGGUAGUAAACAUUGCCCAAGGGAAAUACUCAGGGAGAGACAUGUGUGUCUGCUAGCUGUGACCUUAGACACGAGUUUUCUGACUUGAGAAAAGUUGCACUCCCUCCCGCAACAUCCGGGAUUUUGUGGGGAGAAAGGAAAGGAAUGCUGGGAUGAGCUUAGGAUUCCUUGGGCUCAGUUAGACUCUAGGAACGAGUGUGUGACCUUCGGUCACGUCAUCUUGCUUCAGUGUCCUGGCUAGUUUUAUGUCUGCUUCAUACAAGCUAGGGUCCUUAGAGAACACGCCUCCAUAAGAU